CACUCAUACGCCAUCUUUGAACCCCCAAGACCCGCGCUUAGUUCGAAUUUCCUCUUGCUCUUCCCAUUAAAAAGGCGCUGUCAUGGGGUGGUGCAUGGCGUAUGGCUGUAAAACUGGACAUAAGAACAAACAAGAGGACACAGGUCAACCUCUCACAGGAAGUGGAAAGUGUGAUUGGCUGACCUCUUCCUCAUCCUCAGGGGUGCUGGCACCACCAAAUGUUCAGCACAACAUUGAUUUUGGCUCAACACUUUGUGAUCUUGAGAAAUGUACACCCAAGUCAUCUUGCUUAUUGAACUGCACAAUAAAAUCCUGGUAUUUAAAGUUAUGUCCACUGCACUUGGCUGACACUGAGUACCCUUGAGGGUAGCUGGCUGACUGCUGCAGCCAUCAUGCAUACAUGUGAUGAUUGGGUGAAAAUAAUUUACAUAUUAGCCAGAAGUAAAUGAUGUUCAAUGACAUCCUAAUAUGUCAUCAAAAAGACAGCUCUUGUUAGCAGAACAACAGAGAUACAAGAGGGCACACUGGAAACCAACGUAUUAACACAAGCUCUACUGAUUGAGCCACCGCACGAUUGGGAGAAUGGUGCAGAGCUUGCUGAACUUAGAAAAAAUCCAAGAUGCAGCACAAUCUAGUUGUUACAGCCAUGUCAGAGUUGUCCCCAAAAAGAUUUUUACACUUACAGCAAGGCUGCAGUGUGACCUACAUAAUGUGCAAGUUUUGUGACAUGGACUCAUUAUAAGGAAUAACCGAGUGUGGGUGGAUGUUUUCAAGCUGAUGACAGCAAAGGGUUACUUCCCAUGCUGCUCAAAAUGAAGGCAUUGGAAAGAUGUACAUGAAGGGAUGCAAUAAAUCAAAAGUAACCAAU